rnacentral:tRNA from 1 species
GCCCUUGUAGCUCAGUUGGUAGAGCAGUCGUUUCGUACACGACAGGCCGCCUGUUCAAUUCAGGCCGGGGGCACCA